rnacentral:lncRNA from 1 species
UCCCUGACUUAAGAGAGCUUUCAAACAAGAUUAGAUAAAGCUAUGGAAAUUGAGUCAUUAGCCAGAGUUCUGUUUAAUAAUAUAAUACAAUAAAGACUAGUUUCUUUUGAUGCUGCCUAAAUUGUAGGCAGAGUUCUUGAAUGUACGCACCUACUUGAUCCUGCCCAUUUUUACUAUUAAAAGUUAGCUUCUUGGAUGAGGUUGAGUCCAGUAAGUAAUUAAAUGCUUCUUUAUGACUGGGUUGGUCUCACCUGCUUUGAAAGUGCCUCUGUAAGAAAUACAUUUUGCAUCCAAGGGAUCUUUGGCAAGUGGUGGCAGCUACAUUCCAGAUGGCUUGGGUGAAACAGUUUAUAGGGUCAAUUUCAGAAAGCAGCAUUGGAAUAAAUUCUUCUUGGCCCCAUGAUACCUGUCCUGGUGAGUACCACAAGACUCUUUCUGUUUUCCAUACUCUUCUGCAUCUUCCAUUUUCUUUAACAUCUUUAUCAAUGGUUCUCACUGUAUUGAGGGAGGGAAUACUUGAUAUGUAGUUGGAUAUCAAAUUAAACUUAAGAUCCACAACAGAGUUACUACACUACACUGUUAAAAAGUUGCUAUCCCACUUUAAGUUGCUACCUCUCUUUGUCUAAGAAUUUUGAAGAACCUUCUCUAAACUGACCUACUGUAUAUACUCGAGUAUAAGCCAACCCGAAUAUAAGCCGAGGCACCUAAUUUUACCACAAAAACCUGGGAUAACUUAUUGACUCGAGUAUAAGCCGAGGGUGGGAAAUGCAGCAGCUACGGGUAAAUUUUAAAAUAAAAAUAGAUACCAAUAAAAUUUCAUUAAUCAAGGCAUCAGUAGGUUGAAUAUUUACUAUCUUUCAAAGAAAAACAAUAAACUAGCUCUAUAAGUGGAAAGGUAGGGGCAACAAAAACAAUAUGAUAUCAACAAUAACCUAAUAAUAAUAAUAAUAAUAAUAAUAAUAAUAAUAAUAAUAAUAAUAAAAACUUCAUUUGGAUCCCACCCUAUCUCCCCAUGGGGACUCAGGCCAGCUUCCAACAUAGUAACAGGCAAACAUUAAAUGCUUAUAUAAACAAUGCAGAGCUAGAUAUAGAUCUAUAAUUAUAGAUACUAAUUUCACAUAUGCAUUUCCCCAGAAACGUUUGCAAAUCCCUCUGUGAGUGUGUGUGCAUUUCCCCUACAAUAUUUGCAAGCCAAAUAUAUAUAUAUACACACACACACACACACACACACACACAUAUAUCUAUCUAGAUAUGUCUAUAUAUAUUUGUGUGUUCAUUUCCCCCCUGUAAUAUUUCCAAGCCCUAUAUAUAGGUAGGUAAGAAUAUAUUCAUAUCUAUCC